rnacentral:rRNA from 1 species
AAGGAAUAUUGGACAAUGGAGGCAACUCUGAUCCAGCCAUGCCGCGUGAAGGAUGAAGGCGCUCAGCGUUGUAAACUUCUUUUGAGUGGGAACAAAAACCCCGACUUGUCGGGGCCUGAGGGUACCACUAGAAUAAGCACCGGCUAACUCCGUGCCAGCAGCCGCGGUAAUACGGAGGGUGCGAGCGUUAUCCGGAAUCACUGGGUUUAAAGGGUGCGUAGGCGGUCAUAUAAGUCAGGCGUGAAAUGCCCCGGCUCAACCGGCGGAACUGCGAUUGAUACUGCUUGACUUGAAUCAGGUUUAGGCAGGCGGAAUGUGACAUGUAGCGGUGAAAUGCUUAGAUAUGUCAUAGAACACCGAUUGCGAAGGCAGCUUGCUGGGCCUUGAUUGACGCUGAGGCACGAAAGCGUGGGGAGCAAAC